GACAGAGGGUGCAAACGUUGCUCGGAAUCACUGGGCGUAAAGGGCGUGUAGGCGGGAAGGAAAGUCAGAUGUGAAAUCCCCAGGCUCAACCUGGGAACUGCAUUUGAAACUCCCUUUCUUGAGUGCCGGAGAGGAAAGUGGAAUUCCUGGUGUAGAGGUGAAAUUCGUAGAUAUCAGGAGGAACACCAGUGGCGAAGGCGGCUUUCUGGACGGUAACUGACGCUGAGACGCGAAAGCGUGGGGAGCAAACAGG
rnacentral:rRNA from 1 species